AGAUGGACGGCGAUGGCGGCCGCCGGGACGGCCCCCGCGCGCUGACGGAGGCCGGGCGCGGCGCGGGGCCCGCGGGCAUGGCGGAGCCGGCGGCGGUGCCGAGGGCGCGGGCGGCGCGGCCCGGGCCCCAGCGCUUCCUGCGGCGCAGCGUGGUGGAGUCGGACCAGGAGGAGCCGCCGGGCCUGGAGGCGGCCGAGGCGCCGGGCGCGCAGCCCCCGCAGCCGCUGCAGCGCCGGGUGCUGCUGCUCUGCAAGACGCGCCGCCUCAUCGCCGAGCGCGCCCGCGGCCGCCCCGCCGCCCCUGCGGCCCCCGCCGCCGCCGCCGCCGCCGUCGCGCCGCCCGGCAGCCCCGCCGACCCCAGCCCCGAGCCCGCGGGCGCGCAGGAGCCCGGCCCGGACCCUGCGCCCGCGCCCCCCGGAGAACCCCGCGAGGACGAGGCGGCGGCGGCGGCGGCGGCGGGGCGGGAGGACGCGGCGGCGCCGGAGGCGAGGCCCGAGCCAGGGCGCGCCCGCCGGGGAGAGCCCGAGGAGGAGGAGGACGACGAGGACCUCAAGGCCGUGGCCACCUCCCUGGACGGCCGCUUCCUCAAGUUCGACAUCGAACUGGGCCGCGGCUCAUUCAAGACGGUCUACAAGGGGCUGGACACGGAGACCUGGGUGGAGGUGGCCUGGUGCGAGCUGCAGGACCGGAAGCUCACCAAGCUGGAGAGGCAGCGGUUCAAAGAGGAGGCCGAGAUGCUCAAGGGCCUGCAGCACCCCAACAUCGUGCGCUUCUAUGACUUCUGGGAGUCCAGUGCCAGGGGGAAGAGGUGCAUCGUGCUGGUGACCGAGCUGAUGACCUCGGGGACGCUGAAGACGUACCUGAAGCGGUUCAAGGUGAUGAAGCCCAAGGUCCUGCGCAGCUGGUGCCGGCAGAUCCUGAAGGGGCUGCUGUUCCUGCACACCAGGACGCCCCCCAUCAUCCACCGGGACCUCAAGUGUGACAACAUCUUCAUCACUGGGCCCACCGGCUCUGUGAAGAUCGGCGACUUGGGCCUGGCCACUCUCAAGAGGGCGUCCUUUGCCAAGAGCGUGAUCGGCACCCCAGAGUUCAUGGCGCCCGAGAUGUACGAGGAGCAUUACGACGAGUCCGUGGACGUCUAUGCCUUCGGGAUGUGCAUGCUGGAGAUGGCCACCUCAGAGUACCCCUACUCCGAGUGCCAGAAUGCAGCCCAGAUCUACCGGAAGGUCACCUGUGGCAUCAAGCCUGCCAGCUUUGAGAAAGUGCAUGAUCCUGAAAUCAAGGAGAUCAUCGGGGAAUGCAUCUGCAAAAACAAGGAAGAAAGGUACGAGAUCAAGGACCUGCUGAGCCACGCCUUCUUCGCAGAGGACACGGGAGUGCGGGUGGAGCUGGCAGAGGAGGACCACGGCAGGAAGUCCACCAUCGCCCUGCGGCUCUGGGUUGAGGACCCCAAGAAACUGAAGGGCAAGCCCAAGGACAACGGGGCCAUAGAGUUCACCUUUGACCUGGAGAAGGAGACGCCGGAUGGUGUGGCGCAGGAGAUGAUCGAGUCGGGAUUCUUCCACGAGAGCGACGUGAAGAUUGUGGCCAAGUCCAUCCGCGACCGAGUAGCAUUGAUCCAGUGGCGGCGAGAGAGGAUCUGGCCGGCGCUGCAGCCCCCGGAGCAGCGGGACCCCGGCAGCCCCGACAAGGCCAGGGGCCCGCCCGCACCCCUGCAGGUCCAGGUGACCUACCACGCAAAGGCUGGGCCGCCGGAACCCGAGGAGCCCGAGGCAGACCAGCACCUCCUGCCUGCCGCGCUGCCGGCCAGCGCCACCUCCCUGGCCUCGGAUAGCACGUUCGACAGCGGCCAGGGUUCCACCGUGUACUCGGACUCUCAGAGCAGCCAGCAGAGUGCGGUGCUGGGCUCGCUGGCGGACGCGGCCCCGCCCCCGACUCAGUGCGUGUGCAGUCCCCCGGUGAGCGCAACUGAAGGGCCUGUCCUGCCGUACAGCCUGCCCUCGCUGGGGCCCUACCAGCAGCCUGCCGUGCCUGGACUGCCGGGGAGCUCCAUCCCGCCCCCAGCCCGCCCUCCGCUCCCGCAGCAGCAUUUCCCGGAGCCAGCCAUAAGUUUUGCUCCCGUGUCGACGGGCCCGGGCCAGCCUGUGCCUGCUGGCCAGCAGCCUCCUCCACUGGCCCAGCCGGCGCCCUUGCCCCCUGUCCUGGCCCCACCGCCCGUGGGCCCCCUCCAGCCGGUGCCCCCUCAUCUGCCGCCCUACCUAGCUCCGACUUCCCAGGUGGUGGCCCCCGCUCAGCUGAAGCCCCUCCAGAUGCCGCCAGCACCUCUGCAGCCUCUGCCUCAGGUGCCUGCUCAGGUGCCUCCGCUUCCCGUCGGGCCGCCCAUUGCGCCCCUGGCCUCCAUGGACGGCCUCUCCACAGCUCUGCCCGACCUGCCGGCCGCCACCGGGCCCGCCGUCCCCUCCGUCCCCGCUCCCUCUCAGUAUUUCUCUCCCGCUGUCAUCUUGCCAAGCCUCCCGCUCAGCGCCGCCGCCGCCGCCCCCCUGCCCGCGUCACCAGCCCUGCCCCUGCAGGCGGUCAAGCUGCCCCACCCCACCGGGGCGCCGCUCGCCGUGCCGUGCCGGACCAUUGUGCCAAACGUGGCGGCCACCGCCACCGCCAUCCCUCUGCUGGCUGUGGCCCCGCAGGGUGUGGCCGCCCUGUCCAUUCACCCGGCCGCUGUGGCUCAGCUCCCGGCCCAGCCCGUGUACCCGGCAGCCUUUCCGCAGAUGGUGCCCAGCGACGUCCCGCCUUCUCCCCUCCACGCGGCGCAGAACGUGCGGGCUGCCCCGUCCCAGCCUGCGCCCCCCACGCUGCCGCAGCCCCACCAGCCAAGCGUCACACACCUUCCAGAGCAGGCCGCUGCGGCAGGUGGGGCGGGGAGCCAGAUCUUGCUUGGCCACCCGCCUCCGUACGCUGUGGAUGUCGCCGCCCAGGUCCCCACGGCACCCGUGCCAGCCGCCAUCCUCUCCCCACCUCUGCCCGAAGUGUUGCCGCCUCCUGUCCCCGAGCUGCCUCAGCUCCCCAGCUCCCUGGCCCCCGUGGUGGUGGCGGCCUCUCAGAACUUGCCCGUCCAGACCACGCCGCUCCUGCCGCCCACCUCCCACCCACCACCGCCCACCGGGCCCGGGGUCGCCAGCCCCUGCCCGGCCGUGCAGCUGACAGUGGAGCCGGCCCCGGAGGAGCAGUCCUCUCAGGAGAAGCAGCCCAGCGCCCCGCAGAGCUGUGACAGCUACGGAGGCUCCGACGUUCCCUCUGGAAGAGAGAUGAGCGACAGUUGUGAGGGUGCAUUUGGUGGUGGGAGGCUGGAGGGCAGGGCCGCCCGGAAACAUCACCGCAGGUCCACGCGUGCGCGCUCCCGCCAGGAGAGAGCCAGCCGCCCCCGGCUCACCAUCCUGAAUGUAUGCAACACGGGCGACAAGAUGGUGGAGUGCCAGCUGGAGACGCACAACCACAAGAUGGUGACGUUCAAGUUUGACCUAGACGGGGACGCGCCUGACGAGAUCGCCACCUAUAUGGUGGAGCACGACUUCAUCCUGCAGGCCGAGCGAGAGACGUUCAUCGAGCAGAUGAAGGACGUCAUGGACAAGGCGGAGGAUAUGCUCAGUGAGGACACGGACGUCGACCGGGGCUCCGACCCCGGGGUGAGCCCGCCGCACCUCAGCACCUGCGGCCUGGGCACUGGGGAGGAGAGUCGCCAGUCCCAAGCAAACGCCCCCGUGUAUCAGCAGAACGUUCUGCACACGGGCAAGAGGUGGUUUAUCAUCUGCCCGGUGGCUGAGCACCCAGCGGCGGAGGCCCCUGAGCCUUCACCGCCACUUCCUCUGAGCUCCGUGCAGCCAGAAGCCAGCCAAGACACAGCGCCCUGUAAAGACCAGCUGUCCUUAAAGGAAAAAUCCGGCUUCCCAGCCAGUCCACAGCAUCUGAGCCAAACAGGCCCCAGGGACACCCCUGGCGGUGCACCGGCCCCUUUGCUGCCAUCCUCCCCUCCUGUGACUGCUCUGCCCCAGGAUGCGGCCACACCAGCCGCCAGCCCCAAGCCAGAGCCCGCAGUGGGGACUGCUGUGCAGGCAGGGGGCCCAGGGACCUCUCAGGGGAUGGCCAGUGAGCGUGACACCCCCCAGCCACUGGCAGAGACUCAAGACACCCAGCUUUCUGCACAACCCCUGGGUGCAGGUGGGGGGCCUUGUGCCCCACCUCUGGAGGCCCCCCGCUACCCCUCGGGCUUGGGAGAGCCCACCUCAGCCAGGGAGGCCAUGGCCCAGGGUGAGCCCUUGCAGGCUCCGGCCCCUGCACCCAGCGCCCCCAGUGGGACCCCUCAGCCCACCCUGGGUCAGCCCCUACCCCCGUUGCCCCCUGCAGUAGGGGCCAUCAGCCUGGCCACUCCCCAGCUCCCCAGCCCCCCACUGGGGCCCACUGGGGCCCCCCAGCCACCCUCGGCCUUGGAGUCAGAUGGGGAGGGGCCUCCCCCCAGGGUGGGCUUUGUGGACAGCACCAUCAAGAGCCUAGAUGAGAAGCUUCGAACUCUGCUCUACCAGGAGCACGUGCCCACCUCCUCAGCCUCUGCCGGGACCCCUGUGGAGGCGGGGGACCGAGACUUGACCCUGGAGCCCCAGCCCGUGCCGGGAAAGUCAGAAACAGCCCCUGGGCUGGGGGCUGCAUUGGAGCAGGCUGGGUCCUCGCCAUUGACAGCAGAAUCAUCUUUGAGCCAAGUGACAGCCUCAGGUUUGCCCCCGGCGCCAGGGGCCCCCCAGGAUGCCCCUGCUUCUGCCUUCCCUGCACUCCUGGAGCCCGCAGACCAGAGCAGUGGGGUCCCGGGGGAAACUUCAGCCAGGCCCACACCGGGGAUGCAGACGGAGGACAGCCGGGCCAGCCACCUGCAGACGCAGGGCACUUUGGCCGCAGGGUCCCCACAGAAGCAUCCAGGGCAGCAGGACGGCAGCUCACCAGCCAAAACUGUGGGCCGGUUCUCGGUGGUCAGCACGCAGGACGAGUGGACCCUGGGCUCCCCCCACAGCCUGCGGUACUCGGCGCCGCCAGACGUGUACCUGGAGGAGGCCCCCCACAGCCCCGACAUGAAGCUGGCCGUGCGGAGGGCGCAGACAGCCUCCUCCAUCGAGGUCGGCGUGGGCGAGCCGGUGUCCAGCGACUCCGGGGACGAGGGUCCGCGCAGGCGGCCCCCUGUGCAGAAGCACGCCUCCCUACCCAGCAGCAGUGGCGUGGCCAGCGACUUCGUGAAGAAGGCCACCGCCUUCCUGCACAGGUCCCCACGGGCUGGCUCCCCGGGCCCGGAGACGCCCGGCAGGGUGGGCGUGAAGGUGCCCACCAUCAGUGUGACCUCCUUCCACUCCCAGUCGUCCUACAUCAGCAGCGACAACGACUCGGAGAUCGAGGACGCCGAUAUCAGGAAGGAGCUGCAGAGUCUGCGGGAGAAGCACCUGAAGGAGAUCUCGGAGCUGCAGAGCCAGCAGAAGCAGGAGAUCGAGGCCCUGUACCGCCGCCUGGGCAAGCCGCUGCCCCCCAACCUGGGCCUCUUCCACACGGCCCCUCCCGCCGGCCGCAGGAGGAAGAGCAGGAGCAAGCUGAAGGCAGGGAAGCUGCUCAACCCGCUGGUGCAGCAGCUCAAGGUCGUGGCCUCCAGCACAGGUCACUUGUCAGACUGCAGCAGAGCCCCUCCUGCUAAGGACCCUGCCCAAGCCGGGGCAGGGCCCGAAGCAGCUUCAGACCCGUGUGGGAAGGCAGUUCAGACCCAGCAGCCUUGCUCGGUGCGGGCCUCCCUGUCUGCAGACAUCUGCUCCGGCUUAGCCACUGACGGAGGCGGAGCGCAUGGCUCAGGCUGGACGGUUUACCACCCAACGUCUGAGAGACUGACCUAUAAGUCUAGUAGCAAACCUCGCGCUCGAUUCCUCAGUGGACCCGUGUCUGUGUCCAUCUGGUCUGCCCUGAAGCGUCUCUGUCUAGGCAAAGAGCACAGCAGUCGGUCUUCCACCAGCAGCCUGGUCCCGGGCCCUGAGCCGGGCCCCCAGCCCACCUUGCACGUCCAGGCACAGGCGAACAACAGCAACAACAAGAGAGGCACCUUCACGGAUGACCUGCACAAGCUGGUGGACGACUGGACGAGCAAGACGGUGGGGACCACCCAGCUGAAGCCCUCGCUCAACCAGCUGAAGCAGACUCAGAGGCUACACGGCAUGGAGGCCCCGGCGGGCUGGUCCCCAGCCACUGGCGACACACGGGCUAUGAACGCCUCUCGAGCAGCAGUGGGGACACCAUGUCUGGCCCCAGCGCCCAGCCCUCUAUCCACCGCGGCCAUUCCUGGAACCACCCCAGGCCUGCCCAUGCCAGUCCCUUGGUGGAGAAUCUCGUGCGCCUGGGUCCCGGGGGUGGUGGAAGCUGCCUUUCUCCUAUGCACCCCCCUCUCCACUGCUGCACCAGAGGUGAGAUUUGGGGUCCUGGCCUUGUACGUGGAUGGUCAGUGGCACGGAAUCCCCAAGAGAUUGUAUAUAUGAAGGAGGAAAAUAAACAUUUUUGCUUGAAAACAGUGUGGAACAACAUCUUUUCCUUACUCUCUGCCCACAUAAAAGCUAAACCGGCCAGCAUCCUAGGCUCUUCUGGGUGCAGCUUAACACUCAGCUCCACCCUUGCCACGGACACCUGGCCUAGGAGGUUGGGGUGGCAGUGAGGGGGCCUGGGGAUUGAACGGUGGGUGCUGUGUUCCCAGCAGGAGCCACAUGUGAUGGAUGUUGAGCUGGGCCAGGGGGCAAGAGUGGGAUGUUAGGCAGGACCCCCGUCUUCUGCACAGGGUGCUCACCAGGUGGGACCUGGGACCUGAGGACCCAGCUUUGCUGCCUCCAGGCCUGUUUGCUCGGCUUUCAACUACUCUGGACUUGAACUGCAUGUAGACAUGCAGUGGGCUGCACCCCAUGGAGGAUAUUCUGAGAGUGAGAAGCCCGACUGAGCCCAGGCAGGCCAGCCCGACCCCGACGCCAGGCCCUGUGUCGUCACACGUGGAGAAGGCGAGUCUGCGCCUCGUGUCCAGUUCACGCUGUUUUGUAACCACUUUCUAAGCAUUUUUUAUUCACAACUGGAAACACAAAUGUAAUGCAAGAAUAAAGAAUAUUUUGGGGGAAAA